CAACUGCAUUCCAAGAUGAUGCAGAAUCAUUGAAAGCAUUUAAAUACUCAUAAUUUUCUAAUAUACAUAAGUUGUGUAAAAUGCAAUCUGUAAUAAUAACAGGGGAUUCAAUCAACCCAAAAUAUAAACAAAUGAUUCAGUUGUUGAAAUUGCCUAAAUAAGUGACCAAAUGCUUGCUCAAUAACUAGCCUGCUUGAGCAUAAUAUUUGAAAAUUUUCUCUUUUCUUGUGAAAUGACUAUUUUUUAAUGCUUCACACAGGAGUGAGUUACUCCAAACUCUUCAAGCACGUGAUAGAUAAAGAGCCAUAAAAAGGGGAGAAAAAAGGUGGGAGAAACGAGAGAGGGAGGAGUGUGGCAGGAGAGUUAGAGUAGAGGUGGGAGUACAGUAGAGCUAGUGGAGAGAAGAGAUGUGGAGUUUAAAAGUGGGCAAGGAAGGACAAAAGUCUUGUUAAUGCAUAGGAUUGAGUUUCUACCUUAUACGAUCAACUGUGAUUAAAGUUUUUUUGUUGUGAUAUUCGACUAGUUAUAAAUUAGAAAAAUGUGUCGAGCAACCUCAAAGGACAUUCGAAAAUUAAGCACAGAGAAGGUGCAACAGUCAAAGAUGUAGCAAAAAUGUUUAAAAUUAGUUUAAGAACAGUGAUUAAAAUCUGUAAACAGAAUAUUGAAAGAGAAACGGUUUCACCGAAAAAGGCGAAAGGUCUUUCACUACUUUCACACAAAAGGCGAUUCACUACCGAAGAGGAUCAAUAUAUAAACAGCGUUGCGAAGAUAAUACGUUUGUCUGUAAGGAUACUUCAAUCAGAAUUAGCUUUACCUGUUUCUAUAAAUACGGUUAAGCGGAGGUAUAUAGCAUUUGAGUAUAAUACCUAGACAUUAAAAAGAUGCAUUCAUAUAAAUGUAAUGAACUUAUAAUAAAAUAUUCUUAAUAAAGUUUUAUUUCUAUUAUUAGACUAAGGGAGUUUAAUCUUCAGGGGGAGAAGGGCUGCCCAGAAGCAAAAUUUAACGAAUGUGAAUUCUGAUUGGCCGUUUAGGCUUUGCCUACCAAUACCGUCAUUGGACUGACGAAUGGCAAAACAUCAGGUUUCUGAUGGAAAAAAAAAUUUUCUAGCGAUACAACUGGAGUUGUUUGGGUUCAUCGGCUCCGAGGUGAAAGGCACAAUAGUAAAUACGUAUGCCCAAGGCAAAGAAGCAGAAGUUUCUCAGUAGAUAAGGAGUAUGGGCAUGGAUGACUGCACCCGGUCCCGGUGCCCUGGUGCGAAUAAAUGGAAACCUGACAGCCGCCCAAUACGUAAAUAUCCUAGAGGACGAUUUUUCCCUUUAAAGGGAAAAAUCCAUCUACAGUAUAAAGGUCCCGUUCAUCCAUGAUCGCUCCUCGAUUCACACAGCCAGAUUAACUAGAAACUGGCUAGAA